rnacentral:misc_RNA from 1 species
GACGAGAGGCCCGAGCGUUAAUCGGAAUCACUGGGCUUAAAGGGUGCGUAGGCGGGAGCGCAAGCGUCUUGUGAAAUCCCACGGCUCAACCGUGGAAUCGCGGGGCGAACUGCGUUCCUUGAGGCAGGUAGGGGCCGUCGGAACGCUCGGUGGAGCGGUGAAAUGCGUAGAUAUCGAGCGGAACGCCGAUGGUGAAGACGGGCGGCUAGGCCUAGCCUGACGCUGAGGCACGAAAGCGUGGGGAGCAAACAGG